CAGAGAGAAGGGGGGGGAAGAGAUAGGAGCACCAAGAUCAGCAAGACCAGGACCAGGGGAGCCACUGCUUUUCCAAAAAGUCUGGGAAGCCAGAACAUGGGUUUUAGAGCCAGCAAUGUUUAAGGAAUUACAAACUGUUUGUGUGGCUGUGAUGAAACACCACUUCCUACUUCCACAAAAUGGUCAAUUUAAAGUCUGCUUUGCACAUACAACUUUCUUCCCCUUGGGAAGUGAGAAUAGGAAAUGGUAAGGAGGAUUUCAAGGAGAUGCUGAGUUUCAUAUCUGCAACAAUUUGGAGAAGCACAAAGAAGUAGCUACACACACAGAAGGUACAAAGGAGGACUCAAAAACGAUUCCAGUAGAUGGAAGAUGUGGAAGCCUGUGCCUAUCACAACCACCACUGAAGUCACAGGCAGAUGAACCCAAGAGAUCAAGAUGCUAUUAAGGAAGAGGAGCACUAAUGUAAGCUCUGAGAAGUUAGAGGUUUAUGGAGAUAUUUAAGUGAAUACUGUAGAUAAAAUGUUUAGAACAAUUUUUGGAAGAUGGUAAACAUUUAGUAAAGAAAGGAAGAAAGGAAGAAGGAAAGGAAGGAAGGAAGGAAAGAAGAAAGAAAGAAAAGUUGUAUGUUUUUUUGAGAAUAUCCAUUUGGAUUGGGCAAUAAGUAGAAACGCAAAUUCCAGCUCCAAAAUUUACUAGCUUUGUUACUCUGGGAAGUUAACUCGUCUGUACUUCAGUUUCUAGGUCUAUAAAUGGGGGAAAUAAUAAUAUAUACCACACUGAGCUGUGACCAAAAAUCAAAUGCUACAUAAAAAUAGGUAAAAAAUAAACCUAAGGAUAAA